UAGUUGCAGGAAACAGGUUUUGUUCAGCAGAAGAAAGCUGGUUACCUGUAUAACUUAGUAGGUGUGUUUUGAUCAAGCAGCGGCCAGACAACCGUAGGGAUGGUAUCCACAGACUAUGGGUUUCUUCUCAUUCGUCUACUGAUUCCAUCCCACAUUU